rnacentral:rRNA from 1 species
UACGUAGGGGGCAAGCGUUGUCCGGAUUUAUUGGGCGUAAAGAGCGUGUAGGCGGCCUGACAGGUCUGCUGUGAAACUCGAGGCUCAACCUCGAGAUGUCGGCGGAAACCGUCUGGCUAGAGUCCGGAAGAGGAGAGUGGAAUUCCUGGUGUAGCGGUGAAAUGCGCAGAUAUCAGGAAGAACACCUAUGGCGAAGGCAGCUCUCUGGGACGGUACUGACGCUGAGCACGCGAAAGCGUGGGAGCGAACAGGAUAGAUACCCCGUGUA